AUUGAACGCUGGCGGCAUGCUUUACACAUGCAAGUCGAACGGUAACAGGCCUUCGGGCGCUGACGAGUGGCGAACGGGUGAGUAAUGCAUCGGAACGUGCCCAGUCGUGGGGGAUAACGCAGCGAAAGCUGUGCUAAUACCGCAUACGAUCUGCGGAUGAAAGCGGGGGACCUUCGGGCCUCGCGCGAUUGGAGCGGCCGAUGUCAGAUUAGGUAGUUGGUGGGGUAAAGGCUCACCAAGCCAACGAUCUGUAGCUGGUCUGAGAGGACGACCAGCCACACUGGGACUGAGACACGGCCCAGACUCCUACGGGAGGCAGCAGUGGGGAAUUUUGGACAAUGGGCGCAAGCCUGAUCCAGCAAUGCCGCGUGCAGGAAGAAGGCCUUCGGGUUGUAAACUGCUUUUGUACGGAGCGAAAAGGCUCCCUCUAAUACAGGGGGCUCAUGACGGUACCGUAAGAAUAAGCACCGGCUAACUUCGUGCCAGCAGUCGCCGUAACAC
rnacentral:rRNA from 1 species